rnacentral:rRNA from 1 species
UUCAUUUUUUAUAGAUAAAAUGUAAGGUCUGCCCACUGAAUUUUGAAGGGCCGCGGUAUUAUGACCGUGCUAAGGUAGCAUAAUCAUUAGUCUCUUAAUUAGAGAAUGGAAUGAAUGAUUUAACUUUUUGGUGUUUUAUUGAUUAAAUUAAGUUGAAUUUAAAUAGUUGAGUGAAAAUUCUUAAAUGUUUCUUUUGGACGAUAAGACCCUAUAGAUCUUUAUUAAAAAUUAGUUGUUUAGAGGAAAUAAUUUUUUUAUUUAACUGGGGUGAUUAAUUAAAUUCUAAUUUUUAAAAACUUAUAUAUCCUGUUAUACGGAAGAAUAAGAUACCUUAGGGGUAACAGCGUAAUUUAUUAAUAGAGUUCUUAUCGAUUAAUAAUUUUGCGACCUCGAUGUUGAAUUAAAUAAAUUUUAUGGGGUAGAUUUUAUUGAAAUUAGUCUGUUCGACUAUUAAAUUUUUACA